rnacentral:misc_RNA from 1 species
AUAGGCGCACACUGUUGUACAGUGGCAGCGACAUACCUUCAAGGGCACCAACAAGUACGCAUCCGACACGCCCGCCAUGUCGUCACCGUAUUCGCCGCCGAGAGCUGUCGUCACGGACAACUCGAAAGACGACGCUUUUCUCGUGAAGGACUUGACACUACUGAUGGCAGCACUGCGACUCAACAACAGCGAUGACUGGGCUGGAAAGCCGCAGCAGGAGACAUUCCGUGUGUACGAGACGAUGCCGCCUGUGGCUACGGCCCAGCCUUCCCCCUGCAGCGCGGAUGUGGGUGACGCUGCACGAGGCUCAUCGCCGCACGACUCUGAUAAGAGCGAUGCCAGCAGCGACUCUCUAAGCACCCUCAUGACUGGCUACGUGCAUGCGGUGCGCGCCCUGCAUGCCUUCGAUGCACAAAUGGCAGCCGACGGCAUCCGAGAGAGCGCCACUGCAGAGGCAGGUCACACGGGAGGUGGAGUGGUGGGCGCGGAGGAGGAGGCAACGACGCCUUGCAAGGCAGCAGCCGAUGAUGGCAGCUCCUCGGCAGCCAACACCAAACGCGCUGAGGCGGCUGCACCGGUCGACAUGGCAGAGUUGCUGGCGGCGCCGGAUCUCCUGCCAUGUCUAAUGAUAGAUGAACAAGGAGAACAGAGCUGAAGGACUUGCUCACCGGGCAUGUCCGUCCAACCCUUUCUCUUAGGUCUCCCGUCACUACCGACGUCUCUGAGGCACUUCGCCGCACCUCCUGCGCGUCAGAGAGCCGCUGCGCUUGACGGUCUUCUUAUGUUUUACGCCUGUUUCUUUUCUGCAUCCCUUCCCGUGGAGGUGACAACACGCACACGCACGGGCCCUAACUUGACAGGAAAGCCGUGUCUAUUGAAGACGUCAGUGCAUCCACUUUUGCUCUCUAUCUCGGCCACC